AGAAUCAACGCUGGCGGCGUGCCUAACACAUGCAAGUCGAACGAGAAAGUGGAGCAAUCCAUGAGUAAAGUGGCGCACGGGUGAGUAACACGUGACUAACCUACCCUUGAGUGGGGGAUAACCUAGAGAAAUCUGGGCUAAUACCGCGUAAUACCUUCGGGUCAAAGGAGCAAUUCGCUUAAGGAGGGGUCGCGGCCGAUUAGUUAGUUGGCGGGGUAAUGGCCCACCAAGACUAUGAUCGGUAUCCGGCCUGAGAGGGCGCACGGACACACUGGAACUGAAACACGGUCCAGACUCCUACGGGAGGCAGCAGUGGGGAAUUUGCGCAAUGGGGGAAACCCUGACGCAGCAACGCCGCGUGGAGGAUGAAGUCCCUUGGGACGUAAACUCCUUUCGAUCGGGACGAUAAUGACGGUACCGAGAGAAGAAGCCCCGGCUAACUUCGUGCCAGCAGCCGC
rnacentral:rRNA from 1 species